GGUUAAGCGACUAAGCGUACACGGUGGAUGCCUAGGCAGUCAGAGGCGAUGAAGGGCGUGCUAAUCUGCGAAAAGCGUCGGUAAGGUGAUAUGAACCGUUAUAACCGACGAUACCCGAAUGGGGAAACCCAGUGCAAUUCGUUGCACUAUUGCAUGGUGAAUACAUAGCCAUGCAAGGCGAACCGGGGGAACUGAAACAUCUAAGUACCCCGAGGAAAAGAAAUCAACCGAGAUUCCCCCAGUAGCGGCGAGCGAACGGGGAGGAGCCCAGAACCUGAAUCAGCGUAUGUGUUAGUGGAAGCGUCUGGAAAGUCGCACGGUACAGGGUGA
rnacentral:rRNA from 1 species